GAUGAAGAACGUAGCGAAAUGCGAUAAGUAAUGUGAAUUGCAGAAUUCAGUGAAUCAUCGAAUCUUUGAACGCACAUUGCGCCCCUUGGUAUUCCGAGGGGCAUGCCUGUUCGAGCGUCAUUAUAACCCCUCAAGCUCAGCUUGGUGUUGGGGCCUGCUGCACUGGCAGCCCUUAAAAUCAGUGGCGGCGCCUUCUGGCUCUAAGCGUAGUAAUUCUUCUCGCUAUGGAGUCCUGGUGGAUGCUUGCCAUCAACCCCCAAUUUUUCUAUGGUUGACCUCGGAUCAGGUAGGGAUACCCGCUGAACCUAAGCAUAUCAAUAAGCGGAGGA
rnacentral:misc_RNA from 1 species